rnacentral:rRNA from 1 species
AGGCGAAGCUGAUCCAUCAUGCCGCGUGAGUGAAGAAGGCCUUCGGGUUGUAAAGCUCUUUCAGACGGAAAGAAAUCUUCUGGGUUAAUACCCUGNGGAGGAUGACGGUACCGUAAGAAGAAGCACCGGCUAACUACGUGCCAGCAGCCGCGGUAAUACGUAGGGUGCGAGCGUUAAUCGGAAUUACUGGGCGUAAAGCGUGCGCAGGCGGUUAUGUAAGACAGAUGUGAAAUCCCCGGGCUCAACCUGGGAACUGCGUUUGUGACUGCAUAACUAGAGUACGGCAGAGGGAGGUGGAAUUCCGCGUGUAGCAGUGAAAUGCGUAGAUAUGCGGAGGAACACCGAUGGCGAAGGCAGCCUCCUGGGCCAGUACUGACGCUCAUGCACGAAAGCGUGGGGAGCAAACAGGAUUAGAUACCCUGGUAGUCCACGCCCUAAACGAUGUCAACUAGUUGUUCGGUGAGGAGACUCAUUGAGUAACGCAGCUAACGCGUGAAGUUGACCGCCUGGGGAGUACGGACGCAAGGUUAAAACUCAAAGGAAUUGACGGGGACCCGGACAAAAGCGGUGGAUGAUGUGGAUUAAUUCGAUUG